GCCAAGCAUGGCAUAGUGGUUUGAGUGCUGGACUAUGACUCUGGAGACCAGGGUUCGAUUCCCCGCUUGACC
rnacentral:tRNA from 1 species